rnacentral:rRNA from 1 species
AUGGAGAUUUUGAUGAUUAGGACAACAGUGAAUGAGCCAGAGGAGGCCACAAUGUCAAGAUUCUUUCAUGGGCUGAAUGAAGAUGUGCAAGAAAGCAUAGUGAUGGUUACAUAUCAAGAUUUGCGUGGACUUGUGCAUCAAGCUAUUCAUGUAGAGCAGCAGCUGAAGCGUCGCCGAAAUCGCAGCCAAACCUAUACAUCAAGCACUUGGAGAGGUUCAGUUCAACUAGAAGUAGAUGAAAGUGUUGCUGCAGAUUUUCGCUCACACAACAAGAUGACUGCAAAAGAAGCUAAUGCAUCAAAGGUUGAAUCUUCCAAUACUCCUAUCACUCGCAUUAGUAAUAUUCAGUGCCACACAUGCAAGGGUAGAGGUCACUUCAAGAAGGAUUGUCCUAAUUUGAAGAAGGUGCUGCUCACAAAUGAUUGGUAUGUCACCGAUGACUCAAGUGACAAAUAUGAAUCUGAGAAGGAAGAUGCAACAUAUUGUACUUUUUAG